GAACAGUGUCUUACACAUAACAGGUGCUUUAAGAGCUCUGGGAUGAGCAACUUUCUGUAUCCCUGAUGGAAAUGCUUACAGAGUCCAUUCUGCUGUCUGCUUCCUUUUGGGUCAAGUGGCGUCCGUCGGGCAGCUGCACAUUGGAUGAUACUUCCUAGAGUGCGUCGGUGUCCUGCUGCUAGGAAAGGUGCCCUGUUGUUUGGAGCUGGGAGAAAACAGCAAGAAAUGAGUUCUAAGGAUUUUGGUGAUGUCGAUGCUGCUGGUCUGGGGACAAUACUUGGAGAAGCACUGGAGUACAGCUGACCCUUAACAUGGGUUGGAACUGUGCAGGUCCACCUAUAUCUGGAUUUUCUUCUGCCUCUGCCACUUCUGAGACAGCAAGAUCAACUCCUCCUCUUCUUCCUACUCAACAUAAGGACGACGAGGAUGAUGAUGUUCCAUUUCUACUUAAUGAAUUGUAAAUAUAGUUUCUCCUUUGUGAUGGUUAAUACUGAGUGUCAACUUGAUUGGAUGGAAGGACGUGAAGUAUGUUCCUAUGCGUGUCUGUGAGAUAUUGCCAAAGGAGAUUAACAUUUGAGUCCGUGGACUGGGAAAGGCAGACCCACCCUUAAUCUGGGUGGAUGCAAUCUAAUCGGCUGCCAGUGCAGCAAGAAUAAAAGCAGGCACAAUAAUGUGAAGAGUAGACUAGCCUAGCCUCCCAGCCUACAUCUUUCUCCCACGCUGGAUGCUUCCUGCCCUUGAACAUCAGACUCCAAGUUCUUCAGCUUUGGGACUUGGACUGGCUUCCUUGUUCCUCAGCCUGCAGAUGGCCUGUUGUGGAACCUUGUGAUAAUGUGAGUCAGUAUUCCUUAAUAAACUCCCCUUUAUAUAUACAUUUAUCCUAUUAGUUCUGUCCCUCUAGAGAACCCCAACUAAUACAUCCUUCUUAUGAUUUUCUUAAUAACAUUUUCUUUCCUCUGGCUUUAUUGUAAGAAUACAGUAUAUAAUUCAUAUAGCACACAAAAUAUACGUUCAUUGACAGUUUGUGUUAUCAGUAAGGCUUCUGGCCAACAGUAGGCUAUUAAUAGUUAAGUUUUUGAAGGGGUCAAAAGUUAUACGUGGACUUUUGACUGCAUAGAGGUUGGUGCCCCUAACCCCUGUGUUGUUCAAGGGUCAGCUGCAGCAAAAGCAUCAAUUAAGAGAGAAACUUAAAGCUCUACUCCUGCCUCUUUUUCGAUUUUCUAGCUGAGUAAUCUUGAGCAAAGAUUCAGUUUCUUCCCAUGCAAAAUGAGGAGACUGGCCUAAAGUAGGCCUUUUCAACUACUGUCUCCUGACAGCCCUCGGGGAGCUGAUCUGGGCCUUGAGCCGAUAGCCUUCUACCCUAAGCAACCUCCUUCAUUUAUCUCAGCGUGCCUUAUAAAUAUUGUCAUUUUCUAUGUGUGUAUGACCCAAAAAGGACUGGGAAAUGUUGCACCUGAAAACUGCUGAGGCCCUUUUAGCUCUAAAUUAUUAUAGGUUUACAAGUUUUGAUAAACGCCUCCAUCUCAAUUAUACUCAUCAUCGCCUGCUGGCUAUGGCUGUUAACUUACAUCACGCAUAUGUGGUGCUUGCAUGUCUUUCUUAUAAAUCACAUUCUUUGGAUGUUUUCCUACCUCAUUGAUUACUUUUUCUCAGAUUGAGAUGGGUUGCCUGAUAGCCUCCCUAAAGCACAUGGACUUGGUGUUCAUUUAGUCAUUCAACACUCGGCACUUCCCGAUGCUGGAGGCUGCAUGGGAUUUAUCCCUUCUUCCCUUUAAUAACACUGUAUUAUCCAACAGUCAUGCGGCUGUAUUACCUUCUCCACCUGCUCCUGCUCUUCUCUGCUCCAACAGAGAGAAAAAUUAGAGGCAGCUGUAAAGAGACAAGACAUCCUCUUUUCCUCUAUUCAUAGUUUUUCCUGAU
ensembl:lncRNA novel transcript